GGUUGUAGCUCAGUGGUAGAGUGCUUGCCUCGCACAUGUGAGGCCCUGAAUUCAAUCCUCAGCACCA
rnacentral:tRNA from 1 species